GAUGAACGCUGGCGGCGUGCCUAAUACAUGCAAGUCGAGCGAACGGACGAGAAGCUUGCUUUUCUGAUGUUAGCGGCGGACGGGUGAGUAACACGUGGAUAACCUACCUAUAAGACUGGGAUAAUUUCGGGAAACCGGAGCUAAUACCGGAUAAUAUUUUGAACCGCAUGGUUCAAAAGUGAGAGACGGUCUUGAUGUCACUUAUAGAUGGAUCCGCGCUGCAUUAGCUAGUUGGUAAGGUAACGGCUUACCAAGGCAACGAUGCAUAGCCGACCUGAGAGGGUGAUCGGCCACACUGGAACGUAGACACGGUCCAGACUCCUACGGGAGGCAGCAGUAGGGAAUCUUCCGCAAUGGGCGAAAGCCUGACAGAGCAACGCCGCGUGAGUGAUGAAGGUCUUCGGUUCGUAAAACUCUGUUAUUGGGGAAGAACAUAUGUGUAAGUAACUGUGGACAUCGUGACGGUACCUAAUCAGAAAGCCACGGCUAACUACGUG
rnacentral:rRNA from 1 species